CUAACUGAGUGAGGGAGGUCAUUCCACCACUGAGGGGCAAUGGCGGAGAAGAGGCGUGGUUGGGAGGAGCGGCUGCCGGGUUCCCGAAGUGAGCCAAGGACCGCGAAAAGCUCUGUGUGAAGUUUAGCAGGUAGAGGGUCAAGGAGGUAAGAGGCUGGUUGUGAAGUUUAGCAGGUGGAGGGUCAAGGAGGUAAGAGGCUGGUUUAGCAGAGUGCACCAAUUUGGACAGCACGUUUAGAGGGAUAGGGUUAAAUUGAAUUAAAGGGUGCACAUUAAUCUCAGGUGCAGUGACGGAGAGCGUGCAGGCAGUCUGAUUUGAUCAUCAAACCCCCCAACAGAACUAACACACUACAGCAAAUAAUUAUAGCACCAUAAACUACAAUUUAAACAAUGUAAACACUGUAUAGUAGCAACAAACGACUGGGAAAAAGCGGAGAGGGAAGGAGAGACAGAGCUGUUUAAAUCAUCAGUGGGUUUGUUACAUUUAACAGCACAAAUGAAAACUAUCAAUAAAGGGAUUUCACGUUUGAUUUUACACUUAUAAUUUACACUUAUAAUUUUAAACUUAGCCAAAACAAAAACACACAAGCAGAUUUUCAUAAAUUCAUUAUGACAUAUUUGCAUUAUUAACUGUUCCGACCAGAUCAGAGUAAUAUGUGUCUAUUUCACGUGGUAUUAUUUCGUCAGCCUUAAGGUGAAUGUUAGUUUUGAGGAGCACUGUGUAAAUAUAGUCUCUAAUCCAGUGUGAUUUACUGACUGCUGUUAUACUGUGUUCGCAUUCUCAAAUCUGAUCUUAUAAAAUCUGAGUUGUUAAAACUAAA